AUGAGGUUUUCAUCUCAGAAACCAGUUAAACACAGCUCACAGGGCGACCAACUUACUUAUGCGGCCUCCGUACGGGGAGAGCGGCUUGUAGUUGAAGCUGAACAGCUUUGUGAUGUUGUUGAAGUUGGGAUGCUGGACAACCAGGUUCCAGUCUGUGUAGUUCAUGCGGUAGUUGAAGUUUGUGAUGGUUACUUUGACUCUCCAGUAGUCCUUGUAGUUGAGCUUGACAUGCCAGUGGACUUUUACCGGGCACAUGUGGGAAGUGCACUGGACAAGAGGCUGGCCGGUGUAUUUGCCAGGGCCAUCGAUGGCAGAUUGUAA
rnacentral:rRNA from 1 species